rnacentral:lncRNA from 1 species
GUGAUACUGCUGGUCUUGCUACUAAAAGAUUAAAAGGAGUUCUUAGGAAGUCAGUGCUAAUGAAAUAACCUAGAACAGAGCCUCCAGAGACUGUGACCUCUGCUUAUCCUUACGUUCAACAGGAGGCUGCCUGGUGAGUACUUCAUUUCUGCUUACACCUGGGGUCUGAAAUUUCAUACAGAUCCACUCUGCAGACAGCUUCGGUAUAGACUGACUCCCAGCUUCUCCUUGACUCACUUACUAAGUAGAUGAUAGAACUGAGUAUUAGGCUAAGUCGUCAUUAUGAGUUGCAUAGCUUUGUUAGAAGAACAAAUGGGUAAUAAGCCCCAGGAACACAAGAAACAGCAACUACAGCAAUCCUUUUGUUUCACGGUGGUUGAGCAUGGUUUGGGAUGAGGAACCAAAUUUUGAGGAGUAACCUGCAGCAGUAAGAUAAAGCUAGUUUGAAAAACAUUCCCCAGAACAGUCCAACUUCUGUCUUUUUCUCCUCAGGAGCAAUUUAUCCUCUAAUCCCACGUAAACUUCGCUGCAAGAGUUACUACUGUGCCAGAUGCACAGUGGAGAAUCUCACCUCUAACAUGAGAGAUCCCAGACUGUAAGGAUGCAUCUGCAGCAACAGAGUAACAUCAGUUUCCUGACUGCUAGCAAGAUCCAGAAGGCUGAAGAAUACUUCAUUUCAAAGACAGGCAUGAAAGCCUGAUAGCUAAAAGAAGCAAAGACUUGCAGAGAACAGAUCUGCUCAGUGAGAUUCACGCACAGGACAGCUAUUUCUGGUUCAGCAGGCAGAUGUGUUUAUUCUUUGUCAGAAGGCGACACAGAUCGGUACCUGAAGGCAGUAAUCAUUUACAAGCAAGGGACUGUCACUACCCUAACGCAGGGCCCUUCCUCUCACAUCUCAUCAGAUGCCAGGGAGCGUGAAGUCACACAAACACAAACUCCUGGAAUAAGAUGCCAGUAAGCUACAUUACUGCCAGGGUGUUCUCCAGCUACUCUGGCACCUCCACCCCGUACAGGUCAAACAGUUCGCUGGGUAACUAACUGCACUUUCUUGAACAAGUUUACAGAAAAUUAGCCAGCAGAGCAAUGCUGUACCCCAAAAUGCCUCUGAUUACCUGACUCUUGAUGCCUUGCUGAGUGAUGAAGGUCUUCAGAGCCCCUGUUUCAGAGUUCUGAGGAUAGCCAAAAUCCAGGAUUUCUACAAGAGAGUAAAAGACAAUUAGCUCAGAGCCACAAGCCAGAAGUGCAACAGAGACAUGCCAACUACAUUAACAACUAUGGUAAGGAAAGGGUUACAGAACAACCAAAUGCAAUAUCAUACAGCUGGCCGAAGGGAAACAUCUCACCAUCCAGCAGCUCAUAGAUCAGCACGAAGUUGUUCUUUAUGUUUUCUUCACUGAUCUUUCCGAAGUAAGCAGUCAUCACGUCACACAUCUUGUAAAGAAACUCAAACACCAUGGCAGCGUUGACAUUCUGCUUGGUGACAGCAGCCAGCCAGAUGUUGGAACGCUUGACAUGGAAGAAACUUGUGCGGGCGAUGUUGGUGACAGGCGAGCGGACCUGCUGCCGUGCGUGGAUGACAUUGACGCGGAAGGCAUCCACGGCAUUCCGCCCAAUGUCAUCCCGGUAGACUCGAGAGAUUAAAACCUCUCCUUUGUGAUUAUAGAUGAAUAAGCCUCCGAUCAUGAUGGAACUUUAAUCUUCUCUUCCCAUGUUGGUUAAGACCGCUGCCGCUGACCCUCCGCCGCUCGCCGCCCAGCGCCCAAGAUGGCGGCUGCCGCCCCC